GACGAACGCUGGCGGCGUGCCUAAUACAUGCAAGUAGAACGCAGUUGCGAAAGGGGGAGUAACGCGUAUGUAACUGCCUCAUAGCGAGGGAUAACUAGUGGAAACGAUAGCUAUUACCGCACAUUGUGAGAUGGACCUGCUUUGUAUUAGUUAGUUGGUGGGGUAAAGGCGCACCAAGGCGACGAUACAUAGCCGGCGUGAGAGGUUGAUCGGCCACACUGGGACUGAGACACGGCCCAGACUCCUACGGGAGGCAGCAGUAGGGAAUCUUCGGCAAUGGACGAAAGUCUGACCGAGCAACGCCGCGUGAGUGAAGACGGUUUUCGGGUCGUAAAGCUCUGUUGUUAGGGAAGCGGUACCUAAACAGAAAGGGACGGCUAACUACGUGCCAGCCGCCGCGGUAAUUC
rnacentral:rRNA from 1 species